AUGGACUUCUCCGAUCUGACCUCCGGCGCCUCGGACACCAAUCCGUUCACCACACCACCCAGCCUUCUCUCUGUUCCCCUCUCUACCAUUCUCACCCUCAACAUCCAUGGCCAGAUCCCCGUCACCCUCCACCUCAAUCCUCCAAACUUCAAACUCUGGUGCUCCUUCUUCUAUUCUCUCUUCAUGUCGUACGGCAUCUCCGAUCACAUCGACGGAACAGUCAUCGCCAAAAGUCGUCGUCAUGAUGUCGCCUGGACCCAGGUCGACUGGUGCACCGUGGGUUGGCUGUACACCAUGAUCUCCGCGGAGCUUCAAGGUAUGGUUCCGCAAGACCACCCCUCUGCCUACACUCUCUGGACAGCCAUCUGCAGCCUUUUUCUAGACAACCGCACCCAGCACGGCCUCAUCGCCCUCGAGGAGUUCCAUUCCCUUCGCCAAGAGCAUCUCUCCGUCAUGGAGUACUUCACCCGCCUGCAAACGCUGGCCGACACGCUCCGCGACUGUGACAUGGGCGUCACGGAUCGCGGCCUCGUCUCCAACAUGCUGCGUGGCCUCUCCAACAAGUUCAGCCACGCCAUCUCCACCAUGACGUACGACGAGACGAAGCUCCCGACGUUCCUCCAGGCGCGCUCUUAUCUUCUCCAGGAGGAGCGGCGCAUCGAUCGCGCCGCGGCUCACGAGCCGGCCACCGCUCUCCACGCCGCGGCUCGCGCUCCCGCCGCGCCCGCGCCCACCGCGGCGCCGCCACCAGCUCCUGCCCCUCCCGCCCCCAGCUCCUCCAACGGCGGUCACCGUGGCCGCAAGCGCCGCAAGGGUGGCAACGGCGGCCCCGGCGGUGCAGGCGGCAUCGCUGGUUAUGGCGCGGCCUCUGGCCCUGGCGGGGCUGGCGGAUCUGCUCCCGGCUUCUUCCCCAACACCGGCCCCCCUUCCGGUGCCGGCGCGCGCUCUCCGUCGUCCUGGUACCCCGGGUUCAACCCCUGGACCGGCACUUUUCAAGCCUGGCCGGUGAUGCCGCGCCCGCCCGGUGCCAGAGUGCUCGGCCCCCGCCCCGCCGCCCAGGGUCUUCUCGCCUCCACUGGCCCUGGCGCCUCGACCACACCUUCUGGCGCCUCCUGGGACAUGUCAUCGCUCUAG
rnacentral:rRNA from 1 species